rnacentral:rRNA from 1 species
GAUGAACGCUAGCUACAGGCUUAACACAUGCAAGUCGAGGGGCAGCAUGGUCUUAGCUUGCUAAGGCCGAUGGCGACCGGCGCACGGGUGAGUAACACGUAUCCAACCUGCCGUCUACUCUUGGACAGCCUUCUGAAAGGAAGAUUAAUACAAGAUGGCAUCAUGAGUCCGCAUGUUCACAUGAUUAAAGGUAUUCCGGUAGACGAUGGGGAUGCGUUCCAUUAGAUAGUAGGCGGGGUAACGGCCACCUAGUCUUCGAUGGAUAGGGGUUCUGAGAGGAAGGUCCCCCACAUUGGAACUGAGACACGGUCCAAAACUCCUACGGGAGGCAGCAGUGAGGAAUAUUGGUCAAUGGGCGAGAGCCUGAACCAGCCAAGUAGCGUGAAGGAUGACUGCCUAUGGGUUGUAAACUGCUUUUAUAAGGGUAUAAAGUGGGAGUCGUGACUCUUUUUGCAUGUACCUUA